UGUGUGCGUGCUGCCACCUUGGCUACUUGAGAUUACCCCCAUGGACCUGGAGGCAAGAGGACAAACGUAAAUGCAAAGCUCAAACUGGCUGCACUGUGAGUAAUGACAUCCAUUUUCUCAGACCUCUGGACUUCAUGCCUUCUUCCGGAAUCCUCAGAACUACCGUCGAUUCACCUCUAGCUUGUUUCUGCCAAGUAAAAACGCAUGAAAAAAUAAUUGGAGCCAAACACCACAAUAUUUUGAAGCUGUGUAUUUGUUUAUGGUGGGGUAACUAGUAAUUGAAUAAUGAGGUGCUCCUGUUUGCUGAGGAAGACCUGGUGGUUGGUGAGAAAAGAAUAAUUUACCUCUGUGGAAAUGGUGAUACUCCCUUUUACACCGAUUUCAGCUUCCUGGGACAAAUGAAACUGGAAGGAGGUUUCUGUGAAAUGACUCCAAGAGCUGAUUGCAUUUCAGAGCAUUUUUUUAAAAUGGAAAUAUGGGUCCUCAAGGGACUUUGUGUUAUUUUGGAUGUGCUUUAGAAGAGCAAAGUGGAAGCCAUGGCACAAGCAAAGAGAAAGAAGACAAAGGGAUCACUU